UGGGGAAUCUUCCGCAAUGGGCGCAAGCCUGACGGAGCUACACCGCGUGAGGGAAGACGGCCUUUGGGCUGUAAACCUCUUUUCUCAGGGAAGAAGGACUGACGGUACCUGAGGAAUCAGCCUCGGCUAACUCCGUGCCAGCAGCCGCGGUAAUACGGAGGAGGCAAGCGUUAUCCGGAAUUAUUGGGCGUAAAGCGUCCGCAGGGGGUCUUCCAAGUCUGCUGUCAAAGCCCGGGGCUCAACCCCGACGCGGCAGUGGAAACUGGGAGGCUAGAGUACGGCAGGGGUAGAGGGAAUUCCCAGUGUAGCGGUGAAAUGCGUAGAUAUUGGGAAGAACACCGGUGGCGAAAGCGCUCUACUGGGCCGUGACUGACCCUGAGGGACGAAAGCUAGGGGAGCGAAAG
rnacentral:rRNA from 1 species